AGCGAACGCUGGCGGCAGGCCUAACACAUGCAAGUCGAACGAACUCUUCGGAGUUAGUGGCGGACGGGUGAGUAACACGUGGGAACGUGCCUUUUGGUUCGGAAUAACUCAGGGAAACUUGUGCUAAUACCGAAUGUGCCCUUCCGGGGAAAGAUUUAUCGCCAUUAGAGCGGCCCGCGUCUGAUUAGCUAGUUGGUGAGGUAACGGCUCACCAAGGCGACGAUCAGUAGCUGGUCUGAGAGGAUGACCAGCCACACUGGGACUGAGACACGGCCCAGACUCCUACGGGAGGCAGCAGUGGGGAAUCUUGCGCAAUGGGCGAAAGCCUGACGCAGCCAUGCCGCGUGAAUGAUGAAGGUCUUAGGAUUGUAAAAUUCUUUCACCGGGGACGAUAAUGACGGUACCCGGAGAAGAAGCCCCGGCUAACUUCGUG
rnacentral:rRNA from 1 species